GAGUGUGGGAGGGAGACAGACAGAAGUGGAUGGCUCAGGACCUGGAUUCACAGCUUCAAACGUAGGAGCGGGAUUUUGAGUUUGGGACAAUUCUUCCCCAGGCCUGGAGAGAGUGAGGUGGAAUAUAGCAGACUUUCUGUGGAAGUUUUUACUCAGUGGGGAGAAAGAAAAAGGAGCAUUAAAGGGUGAGCUGUAGUUCACGGGGUCCAGAUGGCAGGCAUGAGGGGCCCGGCCUGCAUUGGAGUCUGGCUCUAGAGUCCACAGGGGCUCACACUUCAACUGGACACAUUCCACAGGUACACAUAAACGCUCACCAAAGUAACACGUAAAAAACAAGACAUACUCGAGCAGGACCGAAGAAGUUCUCAGUGAAUCAGAGCAAAAAAGUCAAACUAAGAACAUAACUAAUGCCCUCUUAAUGACAACAUCAGUGAUUA
rnacentral:lncRNA from 1 species